rnacentral:rRNA from 1 species
AUUGAACGCUGGCGGCAUGCCUUACACAUGCAAGUCGAACGGCAGCACGGGUGCUUGCACCUGGUGGCGAGUGGCGAACGGGUGAGUAAUAUAUCGGAACGUACCUUAUUGUGGGGGAUAACGCAGCGAAAGCUGUGCUAAUACCGCAUAAUCCCUAAGGGGGAAAGCGGGGGACCGUAAGGCCUCGCGCAAUUAGAGCGGCCGAUACCUGAUUAGCUAGUUGGUGAGGUAAAGGCUCACCAAGGCAACGAUCAGUAGCUGGUCUGAGAGGACGAUCAGCCACACGGGGACUGAGACACGGCCCAGACUCCUACGGGAGGCAGCAGUGGGGAAUUUUGGACAAUGGGGGCAACCCUGAUCCAGCAAUGCCGCGUGAGUGAAGAAGGCCUUCGGGUUGUAAAGCUCUUUUGUCAGGGAAGAAACAGCAGCUCUAACACAGUAUGCGAAUGACGGUACCUGAAGAAUAAGCACCGGCUAACUACGUGCCAGCCGCCGCAGUAA